ACAGUUGCUAAGACUGGAUAGGAAAUAAAAAGGCAUCUUUUUAUUUUUAAAAGACCUUUUUCGGAAGGUAUGCUUAAAGAGGGGCUUGCGUCACAUUAGUUAGUUGGCAGGGUAAAGGCCUACCAAGACUAUGAUGUGUAGCUGGACUGAGAGGUUGAACAGCCACAUUGGGACUGAGACACGGCCCAAACUCCUACGGGAGGCAGCAGUAGGGAAUUUUCGGCAAUGGAGGAAACUCUGACCGAGCAACGCCGCGUGAACGAUGAAGUAUUUCGGUAUGUAAAGUUCUUUUAUUGAAGAAGAAAAAAUAGUGGAAAAACUAUCUUGACGAUAUUCAAUGAAUAAGCCCCGGCAAACUAUGUGCCAGCAGCCGCGGUAAUACAUAGGGGGCGAGCGUUAUCCGGAAUUAUUGGGCGUAAAGGGUGCGUAGGCGGUUUAAUAAGUCUAUAGUUUAAUUUCAGUGCUUAACACUGUCCUGCUAUAGAAACUAUUAGACUAGAGUGAGAUAGAGGCAAGUGGAAUUCCAUGUGUAGCGGUAAAAUGCGUAAAUAUAUGGAGGAACACCAGAGGCGUAGGCGGCUUGCUGGGUCUUUACUGACGCUGAGGCACGAAAGCGUGGGGAGCAAACGGGAUUAGAUACCCUGGGUAGUCCACGCCGUAAACAAUGAGUACUAAGUGUCGGGAUUACUCGGUACUGAAGUUAACACAUUAAGUACUCCGCCUGAGUAGUACGUACGCAAGUAUGAAACUUAAAGGAAUUGACGGGACUCCGCACAAGCGGUGAAUCAGGUUGUUUAAUUCGAAGNAUCCNCGAAAAACCUUACCAGGUCUNGACAUACUCUGCAAAGCUAUAGCAAUAUAGUGGAGGUUAUCAGGGAUACAGGUGGUGCAUGGUUGUCGUCAGCUCGUGUCGUGAGAUGUUAGGUUAAGUCCUAAAACGAGCGCAACCCUUGUCAUUAGUUGCCAGCAUGUCAUGAUGGGCACUUUAAUGAGACUGCCAAUGAAAAAUUGGAGGAAGGUGAGGAUCACGUCAAAUCAUCAUGCCCCUUAUGAUCUGGGCUACAAACGUGAUACAAUGGCUGUUACAAAGAGUAGCUGAAACGCAAGUUUAUAGCCAAUCUCAUAAAAGCAGUCUCAGUUCGGAUUGAAGUCUGCAACUCGACUUCAUGAAGUUGGAAUCGCUAGUAAUCGCGAAUCAGCAUGUCGCGGUGAAUACGUUCUCGGGGUUUGUACACACCGCCCGUCA
rnacentral:rRNA from 1 species